rnacentral:rRNA from 1 species
GACGAACGCUGGCGGCGUGCUUAACACAUGCAAGUCAGGGAGAAAGGGGUAGCAAUAUCCUGAGUACACCGGCGCACGGGUGAGUAACACGUAGGCAAUCUACCAUUAGGACGGGGACAACCUCGAGAAAUCGAGGCUAAUACCCGAUAAUGCAGCGGCACCGCAUGGUGAUGUGGUUAAAGGCCCGCAAGGGCGCCUAUUGAUGGGCGUGCGUCUGAUUAGGUAGUUGGCGGGGUAACGGCCCACCAAGCCUGCGAUCAGUAACUGGUGUGGGAGCACGACCAGUCACACGGGCACUGGGACACGGGCCCGACUCCUACGGGAGGCAGCAGUAAGGAAUAUUGGUCAAUGGACGCAAGUCUGAACCAGCCAUGCCGCGUGGAGGAUGAAGGUCCUCUGGAUUGUAAACUUCUUUUAUUUGGGAAGAAACCCGGGAUUUCUAUUCCGGUUGACGGUACCAGAUGAAUAAGCACCGGCUAACUCCGUGCCAGCAGCCGCCGCGGUAA